rnacentral:rRNA from 1 species
UACGAAGGUGGCAAGCGUUGUUCGGAAUCACUGGGCUUAAAGCGCACGCAGGCGGAAAUGUAAGUGUCUUGUGAAAGCCCCCGGCUUAACCGGGGAAUUGCUUGGCAAACUACAUUUCUUGAGGCAAGUAGGGGUACAUGGAACUCUUGGUGGAGCGGUGGAAUGCGUAGAUAUCAAGAGGAACGCCAAUGGUGAAGACAGUGUACUGGGCUUGUACUGACGCUGAGGUGCGAAAGCGUGGGGAGCGAACGGG